rnacentral:rRNA from 1 species
UACGUAGGGGGCAAGCGUUGUCCGGAAUCAUUGGGCGUAAAGGGCUCGUAGGCGGUCCAUCGCGUCGGGAGUGAAAAGCUGGGGCUCAACCCCAGUCCUGCUUCCGAUACGGGUGGACUAGAGGUAUGCAGGGGAGAACGGAAUUCCUGGUGUAGCGGUGAAAUGCGCAGAGUAUCAGGAGGAACACCCGGUGGCGAAGGCGGUCUCUGGACGGUACGGACGCUGAGACGCGAAAGCGUGGGGAGCGAACAGG